GAUGGAAGGCAGGUUGGUAGUAAUUGUUUUUUCUGCAGUCCUAAUUAUCCUCUGGAGUCUGUGUCUGUUCUGUUGGGUUGCAGAACCAAACCAGACAGUUAUAGAGGUGCCGAUGACAGACUCCAUCGUUCCUCUGUAGAACUGGAUCAACA